GAAAAAAAGCCUCGUUAGUUGCCAACUCUGUGUGUUGUUGUUUUACAACUGUGACCGACCGUCACAUGAGAGGGGGGACAGCUGGGGGCCGGGCUGCACAAAGGGGAAUGGCUUUUUAAUGGAGUGCCUGGCCGGCGCUUGAAGACUCAAUAAAGAGUUGCUGCUCCUCAUCUGUCCCGGACAGUCCAGGGAACCAGGAGGAGUUGCUGAGUGGCAGUCCACCAUCAGGCCAAGAACUCAGCCCCUUCAGAUGGCAGAAACCAAGUGCCAGAGCCCUGGGGGGCUUAAGGGAGCAGUUCGCAAAGCGUGGUCUGCAGGCCUCUUCCCGAGACCCUCUCAGGAGGCCGUAAAGUCCCCAUAGUGGAACACAGUUUCAACGUGCCCUAUUCAACGUGGGGACAUUACGCUGACAGCGCAAAGGCAGCGGAUUCCACCUUGGAACUAACCUGUGAGAGUCUGUGAUAGUCUGCAAAGGCCCUUGAGAUACUCCUGCCUUUGCCAACUACACAUCUGUCUCCAGCUGGAUUUUCUUCAUAGACUUCAACCAAAACAACCUAUCAGAAAGGUUAUGCGAAAGAAACUUGCCAAAAAAUGGAAAGCAACUCCACUCUUCUCACUAAAAUUUUGUUUUGGAAAAUACAGUUAUUCUCAAAAAUAUGUUCUUUAUGUUAACACAUC